rnacentral:lncRNA from 1 species
CGCCGGGUCGUAAUAACAGAUAUAAGAACUGUAUAAAGGUAAAGAACCUGCCAUUUUUUCACCACAAACGUAUGUUUCCAAAAUACUGAUCCUAUUACCUAAGUUUCAUAUUCAUAAAUGAGGAUUCAGUGGCAAGAAACCCCAGUUUAUAGAUUUUGUUAAAGGAGGGUGCAAAGUAAUAUUCUUCAGUCAUUUCUUCUGGUAAAAUGUUCUGAUUUGUUUGUUUCUGUACAUUUUAUUUCAGCUUUGAGCCCACGUCUGAAGAUGAUUCCGUUACUUCCAGGCACCGUAUUAAAAGAUGGUUGGGCUGAAGGUUGGGAGGCGUGUUCUGACCUUCCGCAGUUCCCCGUCUCCCAUUAAAACCCGGCCGGCCGUCAGAUCAGCAUGGCGAGAAACCUCCUCCUCAUGGGUCUCCCUGGAGCCGGGAAAACAUCCGUGGGCUGAAUCGUGGCCCACAAGCUGGACGUGCCUUUCAUUGACGUGGACGAGGACAUCCUGGAGAAGACGUGGAGGAUGGUGGUGUCAGAGAAGCUCUCCCAGAGUGGUCUGGUCGUCUACCUGGACGUGGACGUUGAGGACAUCAUGCAGCGCCUUGCCCAGAUGAAAGCGGACAGAAUUGUGGGCCAGGAAGCCGGCACGCCCAUCAAGGACAUCCUGCUGUACAGGAAACAGUUCUACGAGAGGUGGUUCGAUGUCAGGGUGCUUUGAGGGACAGAAGAUAAGGUGGAGGAGGUGAGGUCCAAGUACCAACCAGGCCCAAGCCUUCUUAGCUUCCGAGAUCAGACGUUCUCAGGGUGGUAUGGCCGUAAGUCAUGUUCCAUUUUUUUGAUGAUUUUGAUUAUUUCCUCCACGACACCACACACUCCUCUGUCUGCACCACUAGGGUGGUAGUGGCCUAGCGGGUAACACACUCGCCUAUGAACCAAAAGACCCAGGUUCAAAUCCCACUUACUACCAUCGUGUCCCUGAGCAGGACACUUAACCCUGAGUGUCUCCAGGGGGGGACUGUCCCUGUUACUACCGGAUAAGGGCGUCUGGUAAAUGCUGUAAAUGUAAAAUGUAAAUGCAGUACUCCCGUCAGUCCCCAGGUGGCAGUGUUGCGCUGCCAUCUGUGGAAAUGGCCUCGCCCGGCUUGUCACGGUUAUUUGAGUGUAUGAAUAAUUAUUCUGUGAAAGGAUUUCCUGAGACGCCCGUUUUAAUACCUUCCACGCCGAGGCUGGCGGCGUCACCCCCCCUUACACAACUGUCACCCCCCCUUACACAACUAUUCCACAUUCAUCAGUCCGAGGGACGAGACACGUGUUUCUGAUGAUAAAAUAACCUUUAUUCUGACAGGUUCCUUCAUGCCACAUCCUGCUAGGUCCUCCUCAAAGUUCCUUUCAAUCAAAUAAAUGUCUUUUCUUUAAGUACA